AGUGAACGCUGGCGGUAGGCCUAACACAUGCAAGUCGAACGGCAGCACAGAAGAAAAUUGCUCCUUGGGUGGCGAGUGGCGGACGGGUGAGGAAUACAUCGGAAUCUACCUUUUCGUGGGGGAUAACGUAGGGAAACUUACGCUAAUACCGCAUACGACCUUAGGGUGAAAGCGGAGGACCUUCGGGCUUCGCGCGGAUAGAUGAGCCGAUGUCGGAUUAGCUUGUUGGCGGGGUAACGGCCCACCAAGGCGACGAUCCGUAGCUGGUCUGAGAGGAUGAUCAGCCACACUGGAACUGAGACACGGUCCAGACUCCUACGGGAGGCAGCAGUGGGGAAUAUUGGACAAUGGGCGCAAGCCUGAUCCAGCCNNNNNNCGUGAGUGAAGAAGGCCCUCGGGUNG
rnacentral:rRNA from 1 species